UCGGUUUGAACCGAAAUCUGCUCAGCCCUAGCAAUAGGUUGCCCCCACACCCCCUAACGAGGUUAGUGCCCGGCCUCACAACAUUUUCCAAUCAGGUGGCAAAAAAUGUAAAACUUUCGAAUAUGAUAACAAUUUAGGUUUAUGAAAAUAUAUCUAAAACUCAAGUCACAUAAAUGAUACAUAAUUUUGCUUGGUGAUUGGUAGUAAUGUAGGAUGGCUUUUGUUUGUGCAACAAUAUGUUUAGCUUUCUAACCCACAUUAUACCAUAACAUUGAGUUUCUGACUUUUUCCCUUUUAGAAUUCUUUUGUGUUGUUCAGUGACCACAUGUGGUUUAGCAACUCAUGCUUUGCACUCACUUCGUGGGAAGAAAGAUGGAUAUGACAUUGUGAUCAGUGAAGUCAAAAUGCCUGACAUGGAUGGUUUUCAACUUCUAGAACAUGUUGGACUGGAGAUGGAUCUUCCUGUUGUUAGUCAGUUCUUCCCCAUUAACGUGUGGACUUUCACAUUGAGUGCCAAAAAUCUCUCCUUAUUUUUUGUAUCUUAUAUUUACUGGAAGCACUUCUGACAAAACGUAUUCAUGUCACUUCUCAGUGAUGUCUGUUUGUGGAGAAAUGAGUCUGGUUAUGAAAGCAUUCAGCAUGGAGCCUGUGAUUAUC
rnacentral:misc_RNA from 1 species